AUCUUCUACCGCUUAUCCUUUUCAGGGUCUCCGGGGAAACCUGGAGCCUAUCCCAGGGAGCAUGGGGCACAAGGCGGGGUACACCCUGGACAGAGUGCCAAUCCAUCGCAGGGCACAAUCACAUACACACUCACACACCCAUUCAUACACUACGGACACUUUGGACAUGCCAAUCAGCCUACCAUGCAAGUCUUUGGACUGGGGGAGGAAACCGGAGUACCCGGAGGAAACCCCCACAGCACGGGGAGAACAUGCAAUGCUAAUUAACCACAAAGACAUUUUUCAUUAUCUUUACUAAGGGUGCUAAAAUUUCUGAAGCAUUCCAUUUUCCAUUGAUGAACUUUUUAAUAGUUUAUUUUGCAUGUUUGAUUUAUUGAAUAUGCCAUUUGGGGUGUUUUAUGUUAAGGUGCACAUCACAGCACGGUUUUAAUGCAUGUAGAUUCAUUUUGUAUUCCGUUGCGCACACAAAUGAACGCACGUCAUUUUAGAUCUCAGUAAUUCAUGGCCUCAGUGUGUUGGGUUUUACAGACGCUCCUUCAUCAUGUAUUAUUCAUGAAACAAAAAUGGACAAAUUGUGUAUGUUGAGAAUGCAGUACUGGGGCUUGGUAGUCUAAUUGUCUAAUUGGUAUCAGUUCAGUGGUUUGCCUUUCCCUUUUCUGAAUGCGAUGUAAAUAUUCUUUUUUUUUUUUUUUUUUUUAAACGUGUAUGUCAGCACUUUGCUUUUAACUCUGUCCAACAUAUUUUAAUAUCCUCUGAGCUGCUUUGAGGUUCUCCCAGUUGCUCUUUUUGCAUAUUUUUUCCUGAUAUAUAUCUGUUCUAAAUCUGUCAGAUUGAAAUACAGAACCUCAUUUUUUAAUAUUUUAGAAUUCCUGUUUGUAGUUAGACUGUAAAAUCAAGGUGCAUUUCCUUGUUCCAUUUAAAAAAAACAAAACAAAAAAAAAACAUGGGGAAUGCAAACGAUUUCCUUCGACCUACCUACCUUGCAUGGAUUUAAUGGAAAACCUGAAACAUUGCAGAGUGUGGGUAGAGGAAUAGGAUGUUUAAAAGCAUCUGGGAAUGUGUUUACUGAAUUGUUUUGAGAGUGCUUGUGUGUCCUGUGUUUGUCAGCUUGGUCGUGGACAGGUUAUUUGCCUGCGCUAAUGUGCUUCCUGAUCCUGCUGAUACACUACUGAGUGCUAGGAAGGGGAAGAUGCAAAUUACUAGCCAAGGCAAGUUAUUUAAGCGAGCGUGCGCAGGUCUCUGCUCAGGUUUCAUACAGUGGAAAAGUGUUAUUGGAAGAUGGUAGUUGUGACCCAAUCUUUUCUUGUGUGAAUGCAACAGAUUACUGAUUAAACCACAUGUAAUAUUCACACAUCUCUACAGGGUCACUUUGUUUUCUUCAGGUUAAUUAGUUACACAGUUUUAGAUUAGGACAGUGUUCCUAACCAGCGACAGGCGGGUCAGCUGUCUCUGUGUUUACCUCAGGUGGAACAGUUUUUAGUUAUCUGUCAUCUGUUCUCUCUCUUUAUAUGUAUUAACCUCUACAGGCAAUUCCAGAUGUUCAGAUUUUGUGGUCUCUCUUGUGCCUCUUGCGAGCGAAAAAAAGUCAAAAAAUUUCCUUUUGGUUACUGAGGUUAUGGUUAGGGUUAGAUUUAGGUGGAGCAAUGGGAGGUCCUCAUAAGUGAAGACCAUAAGGAUAGUGAGACAAGCAGGUGUGUGUGUGUGUGUGUGUGUGUGUGUGUGUGUGUGUGUGUGUGUGUGUGUGUGUGUGUGUGCGCGCGUGCACUGAAGGCAGGGUGAUAGUUGUCAGGUUCAGGUUCCAGGAAGAGACAGAGCUGUCACUAGCAGUUAAUCAAUCUACCUUAAAGCAGCCAGUGUGAUCAGUGAGUAAUACAGUCAUCCUCUCACUGAGGAAAACUAUCAGUCCAUCCUCUCAGCUCUGUGGACCUUCUUUUGCUACAGAUAGCACUGAAACACACACACACACACCAUCACAGCCCUGUGAUUUGGUUGUAUGAAGUUGCUAUAAAAUUGUUAGUUGUGAAUAGGAAUGAAUAUGAAAGGCAAAGUGCUGUUGACAAGUAUGGUUUAGAAUCACUGUGCUUCCGUAAAUGCUCACAGUCAUGCAGCAAAUGAUGUCAUCAGAUCAUCUGGUUAGAAGUCAACCAAAGUUUGGGGGGGGAUCAGCCAGUAAACGUCAUCUAAAUAGCAAUUUCCCUCUCUGCAUUCCUAAUCAGUGCUGGAAUGCAAGGAGCGUGUUUUGUGUGUGUGUGUGUGUAAGUGGAGCUUUGAGUUACGUUACUGAGUGGAUGAAUGAAGUCAAGCUCAGAAACCUCCUUUUGUCUAUGUGCUGUAUCAGUGAGGUGUCGUCUCCCCCUAAAAAAAAGGCUAUACAAUCCAAAAUGAAUUCGGCUUCAGACAUUCUUCCCUUGGAGCUUCUGACAUCUUAUGCACACUUCAGCUUCAGAAUGUUGAAUUGACCAUUCAUUUCUGUGAAUGUACAGCUUACACUGAUUUUCUGGUUUGAACAGAAAAUACAGUGGCAGGACUGGAAAACAAAAAGCAGGCAUUGAUGACAUGCUCCAUAAAAGCUUCUCGGCCACACGGUAUGCAACUCGCUAGCAGCAGAUAGAAAUCUGUAUCGUGAGACUACCCCCUGUCUAGGAGCGUUUCACAUGAGCUGUGUUGACGAGUUCAGGGUUUUUCACAGUCUGAGUAGAUCUCUAAAAGCUACUGAUUCAUACAGCAAUGUUAUGUCUAUUAUGAGGCCAUGUUGUGACACCAGGCCUAAACAUGUCCAGGUGUCCUGGAAUGACUUUCAGUUUUGUCAGUUGCAUCGGUCUAUACGCUGGUGUGCAGUUACGCCGAUCUUCUGUUGCACUGAGUGUGUGAGGCCUGCCAAAGUUUUAGGCACGCUGAUGAGUUCUGCUGUUUUUGUCAUUUUACCAAUGCUUCGCAUCCUGUUAUUUUCUAGAGUCCAUGUGGUGUGUGUAUACAUGUGUGUGUGUGUGCGUGUGUGCAUACAUGUGUGUACGUGUGUGUGUGUGUGUGUGUGUGUCUUCUCGCACCUCAGCAGCCAGCUGGCUCUGCCUGACCAGCUCCUCUCACUUUCCCAGCCAUUAGUACCAAAGGCUCUAUCCACAGCUGCACUCCAGACUCGGAGUGCAGGAUUCCGAUGGAAUAAUGGGAGUUGCCUCAAGGAGUUUCCACAUAUAUUCUCAUUUGUGACAGUUUGCACACUCGAUGCUCAAGUUUGGAAUGGUUCAUAAUUAAUUUUAUUUUGUACUGCAUAUUCAUUUGAACUAAAUGGCUGACAAACACUCAGAAAUCCCUUUAUCACUAGUGCUGUCAUGCUUUCAUGACUGGAAAUCGACGCUGUGUUUUAUUUCAUAUAAAGCAUAGUUACUUUGUCAUCGACUAAUUAGCACUUCUGCGGGACAGAUCAUUUUGAAGUGUUAAAGUUGUGCAAGCAUUAAACUGGAAGCUUGUUUCCAGUUUAAUUACUUGUUUGUAAGUAGUUUGUGGUUUGAAAGAUUGUUUGAUAGGCUUUAAUAUGUAUCUUUUCAUCACUUUCAACACACACACACACACACACACACACACAUACUCCCAGUCUGCCUAAAUCAUUUACACCACCCCAUUUCUCUUAACCUUAGAAUAUCCUCAGAAAAAUAUUCUGCCUUAAACUUUAACUACUUUGUUUUGUAAAUGUUACAUACAGAUUUCCCCUCCUGCCCCUUCAGAAGCUGACCAACAUGAUUUCAUUAAUAGGUACCAUAUGUUUUUCCCUUCUGAUAGCCAGUAUGAUAUGAUAUGCUUACAUGUAAUAGUCCAUGAAUCAUUAUGCUGAACUAUUUUAGUUAGAAACUGAGGGCCAACACUUUUUUCGCCCCCAUUUAUCAAGAGCAGCAUUAGAAAGAGAAGAAGAAGAAAUCUUUAUUUGUCAGAUAUACAUUACAGCACAGUGAAAUUCUUUUUCCGCAUACUUUUCCGAGUCAGAGUGCGGGGUCAGCCGUGAUACGGUGCCCCUGGAGCAGAGAGGGUUAAGUGCCCAACCAUGGCUGUGCUGAUCAGUAACCCAGCGCCUUAACCACUGAACCACCACUGCGCCUUGGGACUGCAAUUACCACAUGCAGUUUGCACUCAGGUCUCCUUUAGUGAACAGUGGACUAGUUCAACAAACAGACUUCAUCUAAAAACCAUAAUGAACUUUCUUUUACUUUCACACUAUCCGUUGUUACCCAGAUGAGGACGGGUUCCCUACUGAGUCUGCUUCCUCUCAAGGCUUCUUCUUCAUAUCAUCUUAGGGAGUUUUUCCCUCACCACCGUCGCAACGGCUUGCACAAUAGGGAUAAAUUCACACACUUAAAAUCUGUAUCCUGUGUUUAUAUGUUUCUGUAAAGCUGCUUUGAGACAAUGUCCAUUGUUAAAAC
ensembl:lncRNA